AUUGAACGCUGGCGGUAUGCUUAACACAUGCAAGUCGAACGGUAACAGGCCUUCGGGCGCUGACGAGUGGCGGACGGGUGAGUAACGCGUAGGAAUCUGCCUCAUAGUGGGGGACAACGUGGGGAAACUCACGCUAAUACCGCAUACGCCCUACGGGGGAAAGCGGGGGAUCUUCGGACCUCGCGCUAUGAGAUGAGCCUGCGUUAGAUUAGCUAGUAGGUGGGGUAAUAGCCCACCUAGGCGACGAUGGUUAGCGGGUCUGAGAGGAUGAUCCGCCACACUGGAACUGGAACACGGACCAGACUCCUACGGGAGGCUG
rnacentral:rRNA from 1 species